GUGUAGGUCAAUGCUAGUUCGCAGUUUUGUGGGGUAGCAGAAAUGGUUGGACCUGUAAAUUUUGAGAAAGAUGCAGAAUACUGGCAGCAGGAUAGGUGGAGUGGGUUGUUCCCAGUCAAGUGGCAUAUUAUCACAUACUAGUAGAAAAUAAUGAAAACAAGCCUGUUACUUCUUUACUACUCUCUUCCAACUGUGGGGAUUGAAUAUGACUAAGGUACAAAUAACCAGGUUAAAUGUAAGAUAAUGGGACACGAAUACAUUCAAAAAAGAGCUCAAAACCCCUGACUGUCCAACCUCCAAAAGCAAAAGCAAAUGAUCACACCAAUUUCCUCUUUCCAUUCACCACAACAUCAAGAAAACGAAAACGGUUGUCCACAAAAAGCUGAAAGCCAUGCGUUCGCCCCAUGCCCACCAAUCGCACCCCCACCGCCUCAUAUACCCUAUUCUCAUCAAUCCAUUACACCAUUCUCAUCAAUCCAUUCUCCUCCUACUCCUACUCUUCCUUCUCUUCCUUCGUCGUCGUCGUCUUCUUCUUCGUCUUCUUCUUCUUCUUCUUUCCAUUCACCACAACAUCAAGAAACCCACCGCCUCAUAUACCCUAUUCUCAUCAAUCCAUUGCACCAUUCUCAUAAUUCCAUCCUCCUCCUCCUCCUCCUCCUCCUCCCCAUGCCCACCAAUCGCACCCCCACCGCCUCAUAUACUCCAUCUUCUUCUUCUUCUUCUUCUCCUGAGCCUUUUGACAGUGAGCGAGUUCCUGUCACCAUAGGAACUGACAUUCGUGGCUUUCUUCGUGUUGAGAACCGGGUUGAACCCGAUGACCCUCGUAUUGCUAAUCUCUGAUGAAGUAACUACUAUUGCAAAAAGGAAAGAAAAGUCUGAUCUACGUGAACGUGGACAUCUUUAUUGUUAGUAUAAGAACUAUAUUCGCCAACAUAGUGAUUCAUGGGAUUUGGAAAAUAGAGAGAAGUUGACAAAUGCACGUGAAAUUGCUUCCGUUUUGUACGAAGUACUACAAAGAUUUACAAAGGCAUCUUGUCCUCAGGCUCCUAAGGAGGAAUUGUUGCAAACAUGUAUUGCAACUCCUUAAUGUGGGCAGAAAAGGAGCCUUUUGUGGAUUGUGAUGAAGCUUUUGUUCCAUCAUUGGCUGAACGAAUAUCCUUUGCAGCACUUCAACCUGUAACAGGUGACUGUGAUCCUUUCCUCUUUUCUAUUGCUUUAGAAAUUUACCUGAGUUGUCAAGCCAUAUUCUUUGUUAGAUCCUUAAAAAUGGUGUUUCUCCUCACUGCCUUGACUAAAGCUUUUUCAUCCUUUUUCUGCCUUCAAUUCAAACCAAAUUAUGUAUCUGGUGCACUUUAGUGAAACCAAGUUAGAAAGCAAGGGGAUGGACCCUUUUGCACAAGGAAAGUAGAAUCUUUAUCAUGCCAAAAAUAUGGAAUAGAAAAAGAAAAACAGGAAAAGAAAGAGAAAAUACAAGAACAACCUAAACUAUUGAUGAAUCCAUAAGAGAAUACAUCAUGCCUAUCAAACAACCCCAAACCAAAAAUUGCAUGACUAAAAAACCCUUCUUUGAACUUGGGACUGUCAGGCUCAUCCCUCAAUAGUUCUCCUGUCUUUGCCUUUCCAGAUGCACUAGGUUACUAAGAUUUAGUGUGACCAACUUAGCAUGCAGAAUUCUUUGGCGUUUCUAGUGAAUCUCUUAUACCGUUUUUUUUUGUUCUCUCUAUUGUAUCAUUGUGUAAAAUUGGACUGCGAAUGUAGUUUCUCCUUGUCUCAAUAUCUGUAUCAUAGAGUUGAAUUAGAUCUGAAUUGUGUUGCAAGAGGUGACUGAGUCAAAUCCGUACUGUAGGUAGGUUCUAUUUGUGCAGGCUGAACUGCAGAAUCUUUAGAUUUGUUUAAUUGGCUAUCCAAAAGAUGGAGUGUAGCAACUUUCUUGCUAGCCUUCUGGUACAAAGUUAAUAAGCCUCCAUAGCAAAUGGGUCUGCCUUGUGACUGCUCAUAAGACCACUUGAAGCUUGUUUUCCUGUGGACAGAAACUUCCUUGAACUGCAUUGAGAUGGUAAGAAGAAACCAGUUAAAAUAAGUACAAGAAAACUAGGCAAAAAAAAAAUGUUACAUGAUUAAAGAGACGCUGCAGCCAUAGAUACAAACAGUCUGUGGAAGCCUCACUCUUUAACUACAAGAGAAACUUAGAAGAUAGUUGCAAGAUUAAAGAAAGUUGGGGGCUAAAGAGAGAAACUUCCUCUGUUUGCUUCUGUCAGUGCAAACCUGUGUCAGUUUGCUUCUGUUGUUUCCUGACAAAGGAAACAAAUUUUGACAAAAACAGGGUUAAAGAGAGAAACUUUCUCUGAGUGAGUGUAUUCCUAGCUCCACAGUCAUUUUAGUCUGUUACUUAUUUUCUUUUUCCUCUGUCUUUGUUUAUGGUAUUGGAGCCAGGAGAACUCCACUCGACCACAAGGCACAAGCUCACAAUAAAACAGGGCAGUUCCAAUCAAUUAAGACUGCACAAAGGAUACCAAGCCUUAUGACCAAUAGAAAGAAUAACUCCCCUUUAGCAUUCUUGAAACUUUAAUAGUGAAUAUAUAUGGGACUUUUUGGUUUUUGUUUUGAAUUUUGGGCAAUUGUAAUAUUAAACAUGCUCAGAUCCAUGAUGAGCCAUGUAGAGACAUCUCCUUCAAAUAUUUCACGAUUAUCUUGGUUGGAUGACCCAUAAGGAAAGAGGGUAGUAAAGAGUUAAAAGGCACUAUGAGUAUGAGGAAAACCAAAAAGAUAAAAAUUAAAAAUAGAAAAUAGUUUUUGAGUUUGUAUGAGAAGGAAAUUAGAUUGUAAUUUAUAGAAAACAUGGUCUAUAAGAGUGGACUGGUGGGUGGAAAAGGAAUGGAGGCAACAUAGUGGAAAAGAGAAUGGUGGAGGGGUGGGGGGAGAAGGUGAGGUGGUCGUUUGCUUUUUAACAUUGCAUUGAUUAUAUGUACCCUAAAGCCUGGUGUUGAUACAUAAGGGCUGCGCUGGAACUAGAGUAGAGGCUGCGCUGGAACUAGACUAGAGGUGGAAAGAUAACAAAGAGGACAUGUCAUAAUGAUGUGAGGUGUUGUGAUUUUCUAAGUGACAUAAUGAAAUAGACACCAAUAAAACCUAUAACUUUACUCAUUCGGAUCUCUUGGUUGGUUGAAUUUUUAGGUAGAUUUCCAUUAAGAUUCAUUCAAAAACUCUUCUCAAGUACUUACAUCUUAAUUUAAGAGCCCGAUUUAUGCAUUGGAAACUCUUCAUUCUUGUCUUGUAUUCUUAGACUUAUCAAACUUGAACAUUUAAAAAAAUAAAAAUAAAUAAAUAAAUAAAUAAAAAUAAUAAUAAGAGAACUAAACUAAACAUGAGAACACUUGCUUGCUAACACCAAAGAACUGAACUGCUGCUACACACCAUGAAUCUGCCGAAAAAUUUUAUGUGUUUUACAAAAAACCCUAGGUUCAAUGACAUAUGGUGGGAUUGCUAGAGUUAAACAAAAUUAAACAGCUCCAAUGCAUCUCCACUUGGUGCAGCUACCCCACAGGUAGGCACAAAAGGUUGACCUAGGGGCAUCCCAUUUAAGGCACCCCACCAGAAAUGGGCACUCAAGGUGGCACAACAACCUUGUUUUGUGUUCUAUGCUGCAAAUCUUUGCUUUGCAUUGCUGCUUGUCAAUUCUCAUUCUUGAGAUUUUGUGCAUUGAACCAAAGAUGAAUUCCAUAACUUCCCAUUUUGGUUGCUUGGUGAUGUACCUGGAAAACAUUGCAAAAAGCUCAAAGAACUUGAGAAUACCCCACAUUGGGAGAUAACUUAAACUUGAGGAAAUGAGACUCCACAUUGGCAUGCAUCCUAGCACGCGUCCUGGCAUGCGUGGUGGCACGCGUCCUUGCACGUGCAAUGCAAGGACAAUGGCAUGCGCGGUUCACGGACGGUGGCACACAUGGUGCACAAACAAUGGACGUAAGCUUGCAUGCGCAACGAAAGGACGAUGGCAUGCGCGGUUCACGGAUGGUGGCAUGUGUCCUAGCACGCGCGGUGGAAGGCGUCAUGGCAUGCACGGUGGCACCCAUCCUUGCAUGCGUCCUUGCAUGUGCGGUGCACGGACGGUGCACGCAUCUUGGCACGCGUCUUGCGUGGUGGCAAGCAUCCCGGCACGUGCGGUGGCACCCGUCCUUGCAUGUGCGAUCACGGACGGUGGCACGCGUCUUGGCAUACGCGGUGGAAGGUGGAUCGGGCAUGUGCGGUGGCAUGGGUAGGGCACGUAUCCUAGAAUGCGCGGAGGCACGCGUCCUUGUACGCAUCUUGGCACGCGUCCUGCGUGGUGGCAAGCAUCCUGGCACGCGCGGUGGCACCCGUCCUUGCAUGUUUGAUUUCUUUGUUUUUUUUUAAAAGCUUAAUGUUGUGUUUUUUAUUCCUCAUUUCUUUAGUUUCGUAUCAGAAUAAUUUGAUUUACUUUCAAGGACAUUGUGGUUUUAACAUUUGAUAUCUACUCCUUUCUCUACCUUGCUUUAAGAAGAAUGGUAGAAUUUUCAGGUUUUCCGUGGUAAAGAGAAGUUUAUUGGGAAUUAGUUCUUUAACCAUUCUUUUUUUUUUUAACGGGUUCAAAAGUAAUUUUCUCGUACACUCAUACAGUAGACAGUGCAAAAUUUGAGAGAAUAGGGAAUACGGAGGAAACUUAUUCAAGAACUAAUUUCCAAUAAACUUCUCUUUAGCACGGAAAACCUGAAAAUUCUACCAUUCUUCUUAAAGCAAGGUAGAGAAAGGAAUAGAUAUCAAAUUUUAAAACCACAAUGUCCUUGAAAGUAAAUCAAAUUAUUCUGAUACGAAACUAAAGAAAUGAGGAAUAAAAAACAUCACAUCAAGCUUUUAAAAAAAAACAAAGAAAUCAAAGGAUUGAAAAUUAAUUCUCUACUACACACAAGCGGUCAACAAAUAACACUCAAACAUAAAAGGGAAUAAUAAAGAACAAUGCAAAAUGGAGGAGAAUAGGGGAUACGGAGGAAACUUACCUGACAAGUAUUUCCCCAUAAACUUCUCUUUACCUCGAGAAACUUGAAAAUUCUACCCUUACGCUUAUAGAAGGUAGCGAAAGGUGUAGAGAUCAAAUGUAAAAACGAGAAUUAGAAAAUUAACUCUUAAGGCUUAAUAUGGUUGAAAGGAAAUCAAAUUCUGCCGGUACGAAACUAAAGAAAUGAGGAAUAGACAACGCAACAUCAAGAUAAAAAACAAAGAAAGAAAUUAUUGGAUUCAAUAUUAAUUUUCUAGAACACACAUAUAUAGUAAACAUAUAACACGAAAACAUAAAAGAUAAAUAAGAAGAACAACGCAGAAUUUGAGAGAAUAGGGAAUAUGGAGAAAACCUAUCGAAGAACUAAUUCCCAAUAAACUUCUUUUGACAAGGGGAAACCUAAAAAUUCUACCCUUACGCUUAAAGCAAGGUAGAGAAAGGAGUAGAGAUCAAAUUUUAAAACCACAAUGUACUUGAAAGUAAAUAAAAAUUUUUUGAUAACAAACUAAAGAAAUGAGAAAUAGAAAACACAACAUAGAGCUCUAAAAAAAAACAAUGAAAUCAAAGGAUUGAAAAUUCAUUAUCUACUAGAUACACGCAGUGAACAAAUAACACUCAAAUAUAAAAGAGAAGAAUGAAGAACAAUGCGAAAUGGAGGAGAAUAGGGGAUACGAAGAAAACUUACCUGACAAGUAUUUUCAAACAAACUUCUCUUUUACUCGGGAAACCUGAAAAUUCUACCCUUACGCUUAUAGAAUGUAGCGAAAAGAGUAGAGAUCAAAUGUAAAAAUGAGAACAAGAAAAUUAACUCUUAAGGCACAAUAUCGUUGAAAGAAAAUCAAAUUAUGCAGGUACAAAACUAAAGAAAUGAGGAAUAGACAACGCAAGAUCAAGAUAAAAAACAAAUAAAGAAAUUAACGAAUUCAAAAUUAAUUUUCUAGUACACACAUACUUGUCAGGUAAGCGUGAAAGUAGAAUUUUAAGGUUUCUCGAGGAAAAGAGUAGUUUGUUUGGAAAUAUUUGUCGAGUAAGUUUUCUUCGUAUCUCCUAUUCUCCACCAUUUUGCAUUGUUCUUUAUUCUUCUCUUUUAUAUUUGAGUGUUAUUUGGUCACUGCGUGUAUCUAGUAGAUAAUGAAUUUUCAAUCCUUUGAUUUCAUUGUUUUUUUUGGAGCUCUAUGUUGUGUUUUCUAUUUCUCAUUUCUUUAGUUUCUUAUCAAAAAAAUUUUAUUUACUUUCAAGUACAUUGUGGUUUUAAAAUUUGAUCUCUAUUCCUUUCUCUACCUUGCUUUAAGCGUAAGGAUAGAAUUUUUAAGUUUCCCCUUGUCAAGAGAAGUUUAUUGGGAAUUAGUUCUUAGAUAAGUUUUCUCCAUAUUCCCUAUUCUCUCAAAUUUUGCGUUGUUCUUCUUAUUUCUCUUUUAUGUUUUCGUGUUAUAUGUUUAUUAUAUGUGUGUUCUAGAAAAUUAAUAUUGAAUCCAAUAAUUUCUUUCUUUGUUUUUUAUUUUGAUGUUGCGUUGUCUAUUCCUCAUUUCUUUAGUUUCGUAUCGGCAAAAUUUGAUUUGCUUUCAACCAUAUUAAGCCUUAAGAGUUAAUUUUCUAAUUCUCGUUUUUACAUUUGAUCUCUACACCUUUCGCUACCUUCUAUAAGCGUAAGGGUAGAAUUUUCAAGUUUCUCAAGGUAAAGAGAAGUUUAUGGGGAAAUACUUGUCAGGUAAGUUUCCUCCGUAUCCCCUAUUCUCCUCCAUUUUGCAUUGUUCUUCAUUAUUCUCUUUUAUGUUUGAGUGUUAUUUGUUGACCGCUUGUGUGUAGUAGAGAAUUAAU